AGGGUUAAUGAGGUUUCAAAGACUACUACUAAAAAUACUAAGAGAAAUGAUGUGAGACCUAGAGAGUUAAAUUUAUCUAGCUAUGAGGAAGAUGAAGUUGAUGACAAUUUAGUUAGAGGAAGGCUGAGAAGGGAAGAAAGGUGGAAAGAUAGAGCAUGACAUCGGGAUAGCAACAUCAAUGCUAUUAAGAUAAAAAUACCACUAUUGAAGGGUAGGUAUGAAAUAGAAGUUUAUUUGGAAUGGGAGAGAAGAUAGAAUUGAUUUUUUCAUGUAACAACUAUUUUGAAGAAAAGAAGGUUAGGCUUAAUGCAGUUGAGUUCUCAAACCAUGC
rnacentral:lncRNA from 1 species